rnacentral:rRNA from 1 species
AUUUAAGUUAGCUAUAUAUUUAAUGUUAUAUGUAAAUUUUUGUGGGCUAUAAAUGUUCUCUAAAUGAGAAUAUUAUUAUUUAUUUGCAGUUUCUUAUUUUGUAUAUUUUUGAAAUAAAGAUACAGUUAAUUUUAUAGGAUUGUUUAAGGUUGUGCCAGCAGACGCGGUUAUACAAUUAAUUCAUGUUAAUUUUUUUGGUUUAUAUUAAUUUUUAUUUUUGGAAACAAAUGUAAAUUUAUUAGGUGAAAUUUUAAUUUUAUU